GGCAGGAUAGCCUAGUUGGCUAAGAGGGUGUUGGACCCCCAGCCGAAAGGUUCUGGGUUCGAACCCCAACGUCCAAAGCCUA